UCCGUCAACGUCAUUCCGAUUCUUCUCGCUGCCGUCAGCAGCAAAGUUGUGCAGCAAAAAAGAAAAAAAUAAAAGUGCCCGUUUUUCGUACGAACGGAAAAAAAAUCGUCCUAGGAAGCGGACGAAGGGCGCGAGUGCUUAAGAAGGAAUCGGGGAAGGAAUUCCUGACGAUAUAGGAAAAAAUAUUAACAGCAAUUGAAAUUGCUUCCCUCAUUCGCACCGAUUGUGCCAUCCGGACCGUAAUUGUGACAGCACGUGGGGACAUAUUUAAAGUCUAACAGACUGCUCGCUUUGAAUCCCAGAGACGAAUCCGGACGGGCGGGUGGACUAAAGAAUACUAAGGUGAGUUGAACCUUACAUAACGAAGCUCAAACUAGAUCCUUUAUGGUGCUGACUUUCCCUACAGCACGUCGGAACACUCCGGUACCGUAAACCAGAAAGGGCAAGGCAUUAAAUCGAUCAGGGCAGAUCAUAGCUAAUUGAGUACCUAUACAAAGAGCACACCCGAAAUCAAACCAAAGCUCAAGGACACAGCACCGUAAUCCUUCCAUUCGCGGCUCGCACGACAAAAGGCCUCCACAAGGAGGCCUUUUUUCUAUAUUUUGCAGAUCGGUCACGGUGAACGGCCUUAGCCUCCCGAAAGGUAACCGCCGUGGGCGUUUCGAAGACUGUGGGGAUCGAAGUCUGAAGCCGGAAAAACCAUCAUUCAACUGUCGUGCUGGGAAGAGUUCGGCAUUGCGCGAGAAGGUACGGAAGCUUGAACCGGAAAGAGAAGGACACGGACGGAGAGAAGGAGAAGGACACGGACAGCACCCGCUGGUAGGUGCAUGCCAAAGUAGCACGGCCAAUCAGACACAGGAACCAAGGGGUGCGCAAUUGUCCAUUCUAUCCACGACCCAAGGAAGAGCGAUUGGCGUAUCGCUGCCAAUGACAAGACGAAUCUUCACACCACUUCAGAAGCCCAGAGGUUCACCAUUUCCUCGCGAUACGAGAUGCGCUCGACGGAAUCCAGGUGGGAAGAACGAGAGCGGCACUGAGGAUGCGGCAGCCGUGGGUGAUAGUUUUAAGAAAUUGAAACGAAGAUGUAAGAAGACCAAGCAUGCUAAUCGAGUAGGAGAGUAGGAAGUCAGAAGAACGUUGAGAAGUUAUGUAAAUGGGUGAAAUAUAGGAUGAUAUGAUUGCACACUAAAUUAUGUUUUGUGGCGUUUAUUGUUGCUAGCCGGACCGACUAAUCCCCUUUUCGUCACGGAGAGGUCGUUUCACAACACCAGUUGUGCGUGACGUUACUGCACAAUGGAGUAUUGCGAUCCAGAGUUAUUGAAAGCGUUGAUUUUUUCUCCAAUUUUCCCCGAAAAUUGUUUUUUCGCUAAGACUACACUGUAAUGCAUUCAAAUGAACACAAAUAAAUGUGAAUUGAUGGAAAUAACUGAAUCUAUCUCCCUAAAGUGCAAUUUUGACCUCUCUUACGAGCUUUCCUCGUUACAUUUAAUAAUACACGAGAAAGGCACCAUCACCGCUAGGUGGAUUAUUCUGGGGUUUUCAAUGAUUGAUUUAGAAUUAUACAAAUAAAAUCUUUUUUCUUCAUUGCAGAAAUCUUUUUAAAUGUAUAUAAAAAUCUGGGAUAUGGUGCGAAGUAGGGAUCCUACAUUCAGAGAUAUGCGAAAGCAACCAUCUUGAGCAAAUCGAGCAUUGAGAGCUGUCAGAAUCUAAGCCAAAUGAACAUUGUUAUUUUUGCGGAUUGAAAGGUAUUGCGAUUAUAAUGAAAAAGAUUUUACGAAAAGUUUUGUCGAUUAAACAAUUUGUUUUACAAUGGCAAGUUGAAGUAGUCUAGUUUAUGCAUGGUAAUUCGUUCAUUUGUAUUGCACUUUUAUUUUAGUGAUAAUGCACGGUUAGUCGUUAGAUAACGAAAUCUGAAAAUGCCAUUAUGCGCAAAGUCAUGAUCGAGUUCCAACAUUUUGCGCCACGGCAAGUGCUGGCAGCGUUUGUUUACAAAAGUAGCAGCAUUGCUAAAUUGUCUGGAAAAGUAUUCGCACAUCUCUUAAUAUAGGAUCCCUAGUGCGAAGUCACGUUCUGCAGUCUAUUGCUAGUGAGUUACAUAAACUGGAGAGUUUGUGAAGACUAUUAUAGGGUUGAAACACGAACGCCGACGAGAUGACUAGAGAUAAGGACUAGUGGGCAAAUUACUGGUGGACCGAAACUCCUGCCAACCUUUGCGCUGACUGUCUCAGAGCCAGGAGACACUUUAAAUGGUCAGAGAGGAGCGAAAGAUAGUGUUUCGUGAAGCUAGAGCGGCUUUCAAAAAUCAAAAUCAGCAAGUUCAACUGCUUCAAGGAGCUGUGCUGCGAGAAGCUGACGCUGAUCCUUGGGGUAACGCUUAUCGUGACGUAAAGUGGUCUUUUGCUGGCAGGAUGGUUCUACGACCUACAACGUACGAAGAUGAAGACCGAGUAACCGCUGCAGGUAUGCAUGUCUCUAAUGACGGGCUGACAUCUGUGGCGAAAAGUUUGAAGAUGAAGAAAGCUCCGGGUCCGGAUAGAAUUUCAAAUGUAGCUGCAAAAACCGCGAUUAUGACUAGUUUAGAACUUGGCCGCUAGGUGGUGGCAUAUAUGAAAUCAUUAUUUUAGACUAACUCAAGAUAUUCCGAUAUGAGGAAUUUUCUACAUUGUAAAUUAUUUAUUCCUAUCGAAAAAAAUUCUAAUAUGUAAAAAUUAUGUUUUUAGCAAAGUUCAUCUGGAAGAAGAGGAGCGGCAAUCGGUUCUUAGCGAUAGUAACGAUUUACGUCAAAAACGCGUUUAAUAGUGUCAGCUGGAAGGCCAUCACCGCAGGGCUGCACGGAAUGCGGAUCCCCAACUUCCUGUGUAAGAUCCUUAGGAGCUACUUCCAGAACCGGAUUCUGGUUCACGAUAGAAAUUCACAAAAAAAUAGUUAUCGAUUUGCUCUCAAGCUUUGCUUGAGAUUCAAGUCAGGAAAUUCGGUGCAGUUUGUUUGGAUUUUUUUUAAAGAUUUUUCCAACAUUUUAUUUUUGGACUAAACGAAUGUCCAAAUGAGAAAAUAUAGCCCAAUUCUUUAUAUUUUUUGGGAAUAUUCUUCGAAACUCCCUCGGAAAUUGAUUCUUUGUAAUUUAAUCAACAAAUUCUUCGGAGUUUUCUCGGAAUUUUUUUCAGGAUGCAGUCGAAUU